rnacentral:lncRNA from 1 species
GUGAAUCUUCCCUUGAUCUACUUUCAGUAUUGAACUCACGACGGAGUCGCCAGACCAGACGUGCUCUUGGCAGUGCUGGCUGUGACCCGCCCAAUAGGGCCAGGUGGGACACCAGGCCAGCAUCCGGUGGGACACCAGGCCAGCAUCCGGGGCCACCCGCCGGCUCGCACCGUAACGUCACACGUGCCUUACUCCUGUCGGGCCAGGGCGCAGCGUGUUGGGAGUCCACUGGAAGCAGCCCGUCUCAUCGGUUGUGAAGUGGGGUGAUCAGGUUU